rnacentral:rRNA from 1 species
AACGAACGCUGGCGGCAUGCCUAACACAUGCAAGUCGAACGAGACCUUCGGGUCUAGUGGCGCACGGGUUCGUAACGCGUGGGAACCUUCCCUUAGGUUCGGAAUAACUCCCCGAAAGGGGUGCUAAUACCGGAUAAUGUCUUCGGACGAAAGAUUUAUCGCCUUUGGAUGGGCCCUCGUUGGAUUAGCUAGUUGGUAGGGUAAAAGCCUACCAAGGCGACGAUCCAUAGCUUGUCUGAGAGGAUGAUCAGCAACACUGGGACUGAGACACGGCCCAGACUCCUCCGGGAGGCAGCAGUGGGGAAUAUUGGACCAUGGGCGAAAGCCUGAUCCAGCAAUGACGCGUGAGUGAUGAAGGCCUUAGGGUUGUAAAGCUCUUUUACCCGGGAUGAUAAUGACAGUACCGGGAGAAUAAGCUACGGCUAACUACGUG